GCACUGCCCCGCCUCCACUCCCAGCCACGACACCAACUCCCUCCCUCCCUGGACCUGGCGGCGGCAGGCGUCCACCCCUCACGGCAGGAAGCAGCAGCCACCCGCCCCACCUGCGCCUUCCUCAGGAAGACGGGGCAGCCUAUGAGGUCCUCACAGGAUGACACCAGGGCUCAUGUGAGCGACUAGUGGCUUCGACCCAUAACAACAACAACAACAUUGCCUAACAGCCCUCUAGAACACCCCAAAAGAAGAAGAAGAAAGUCCACUGCCUAACAGCCCCCUAGAACACUCCAGGAGAAGAAGCAUGAGAACCCCGGACAAGCAGGAGCAGACUGCUGCAGGAGGCAGGAGGGUCAGUGGUCACCAGAUGAAGCAACUUGCUGCUGGCAACUCCAGCAACAAAGGAGAGAGGAAGUUUGUGUGUCUGGAGUGCGGAAAAGAAUUAACCACAAGGGGAGGCCUCAGAUAUCACACCCUUACACACACUGGUGUGAAGAACUAUGAAUGUAAGGAAUGUGGGAAAAAACUCAACCAGAAGAGUCACCUUAAUAAACACACCCUUCAACACACUGGUGUGAAGAACUAUGAAUGUAAGGAAUGUGGGAAAAAAUUCAACCAGAAGAGUCACCUUGAUACACACACCCUUACACACACUGGUGUGAAGAACUAUGAAUGUAAGGAAUGUGGGAAAACAUUCAGCCAGAAGGGUCACCUUGAUACACACACCCUUACACACACUGGUGUGAAGAACUAUGAAUGUAAGGAAUGUGGGAAAACAUUCAGCCGGAAGAGUCACCUUGAUACACACACCCUUACACACACUGGUGUAAAAAGUCAUGAGUGUGAAGAGUGCGGGAAGAGGUUCAGUGUGAAGCAGGCACUCAAUGAACACGUCUUUCGGCACUAUGGCCUUAGAGAGUUCAAGUGUGAUGUUUGUGGAAAGUUCUUUAAGACAAAGGCAGACAUUGCCAGGCACAUGAAGAUCCACUUCUGAAGUGUGUCUGCCUACAGUACUUGUAGUGACCAGGGUGUUAGCAGCAGCUGAGCUUGAUAGGGAAAGGGAAGUGUAGGAGAGGUAAAAGUGAUCUUGUAAGACAAGGAAGAAAGAAGGCUUGCCUGUGAAGUGAUAAAAGGAGAGGAGCCACAGCAAGAAGAGGAAGGGAAAUACUGAUGGCUGACUUUCCACAGCUGUGGCAGCUGCACCUGGGCCUGGAGCCUGGUUGAGUCUCACAGCUACAGUGAAUUACUUACUCCUCUGUGAGAGCGUGUGAAGCAGUUUGCCAACCUGGUCCUGGCCCUCAUGAUGCUGUUCGCCAGGUACAAUCACUGGAUGGUGGGCGACAAGUUUGAGAGACUCGCCCCCUCACUGGUGUUCUUCAUGCUAACCUGCUGGCUCAUCGUUGAGUACCAAAUCCACCGCAAGGAGAAGAUAGACAAGGCGGCGGCAGCGGCCAAGAAGUCACCCGCUGCAGCCGCCGAAGUGAAGGACGGAGGAACAGCCGCCAACUCCAUCGCUGGCGGCUCCAUAUCUACUCUUGUCUCCUCCUCCUCCUCCUCAGUUGCCUCCGCCUCCUCCUCCUCUCAACAUGGAUGGUCGAAGAAGGAUGUUUAGUGUGGAGGUGUUUGAUUGGGGUAUGUGGUUCAGUGUUUUUAUUUUCGUUUGAGUGUGUGUGUGUGUGUGUGUGUGUGUGUGUGUGUGUGUGUGUGUGUGUGUGUGUGUUUGCUACCCUUCCCUCCCUCCAUCGCCUCAAUGUUUGUCUCUAGGUGUUUGUAGGCGAUAAGAUGACCUUUCAACACACCUUAUUUCUUUUCUUUAUUCUUUCCCGUUUUACGACUUUAUUGUAAGUAUACGUAACCUUAAACUAACGAAAUACAAGUUACGUGAACCCUAUUCUCGAGAUUUGUUACUUCGAUCUCUGUACGUAUAGGCGAGAUUACUUCACUUACAUUAACGAUAUACAAGUUACAUCAAUCUUAACCUACGAGAUGUUUGUAUAAGUAACCACAGUUCAUUGGUAUGUUUGUAUAAGAAACCUCAAUUCACUGGUAUGUUUGUAUAAGUAACCUCAAUUCACUGUUAUGUUUGUAUAAGUAACCUCAAUUCAUUUCAUAUUUCAUAUGUUACUUUGAUCUGUAUGUAUAGGGAAGAUUACAUCAUUUAAACUAGCAAAAUAUAAGUUACGCCAACAUUACGUACAAGACGUUUGUAUAAGUAACUUCAAUUCACUCGUGUGUUGUAUGUUAAUUUGAUCUCUGUACGGCAAGGCAAGAUUACGGCAACCCGGCACUCACUGUUAUGCUCAUUUCUUGUUUAUAUGUAGAUGUAACAUUAUGAUCCAUGUUAUACCUAAAUUACUGUGUCAUCCCUAACAUUACGUAUAUGUCACUUUGGUUACUAAGUCUUGUUAACGUUACGUAUCCAUUAUAUUUAAGUUACUGUGUCAUCCCUGACAUUACGUAUGUCACUUUGGUUACUAAUUUUUUUUUAUGUCAUAGCUUAUUGUGCCGGUAGGCCUGUUCCCGGUGGGGCCUGAUGAUUUGUCCAGCCCAUUCUGGCGUAGGAGAGUGUUUAUAGUGACGCCAUCUUGUUUUGGCUCAUGCUGCCCCCCAGAACUCAUCUUUGAGCCUCUCUUUGGAGAAGUAAUCUAGAGUCUGGCUUGUUAUCAUUAUAUAUCCAUUUCAUUUAAGUUACUAUGUCAUCAGUGACAUUACAUAUUCAUUUACUUUGGUUACUAAGUCUUGUUAACAUUACGUAUCCAUUUAAUUGUUACUACGCCAUUUGUAACAUUACGUAUACAUAUCGCUGCGGUUACUAUAUAUCUCAUAACAUUACGAUCCACGGCACUUUAGUUACGUAAGUAUUUUGUAACAUUCUGAUCCCUGCCACAUAAGUUACCAUGCCAUUUGUAACAUGAUGAAUUCUGACACUUAAGUUAUUGUUAGUUCAUCUGCAACAUUACGAUCCUCAUCACACGUAAGUUAUGUCCUCAGUAGUAUUAUGUAUCUGUGUCACUGCUGAGUUACUGUGUUUUCCUGCAAUCAUUCAACAAUCUUUCUACAAUCCCAAUCAUGCUUAAAAGUCACUACGCUGUCUGUAACACUCGGUCCUCGUCACUUACGUCACCAUAUCUUCCGUAACAUUAGUACAAUCCCUAUCACAGUUGGGUUACUAUGUCAUCUGUAGCAAUGUGUACUCCUGUCCCUUCGGUUGCUAAAUCUUUUGUAACAUUUAUUUGUCACUUCAAUGGUACCUCAUGAUUCGAAAGCCUUUCAAUUCAAACAAUUCCCAAUUCGAACACAUUUAUCAGACAAAUUUUGUCCUCCAAUUCGAAUGUGUGUCACAAUUCUAACACAAACAAACGGCUGCAGAUGAAGCCACCAGUGUAGCCAGGUCGGUGAAUGUGAUACUGCGGACUCCAGCCUCAAAAAACUCCAACCUGCGACUUCCAUUUUUUCCCGCACACUCCCUUGAAAAAUAGCCCAAUUGCGUGGGAUAACAAUGUGUAUAACAGUAAUACUUACCACUACUUCUUGUAAAAUGACACCGGUCAGGAAGAAAAUUAAGUGACUUAAUGCCUGCACCUAAACAAACUAGUGGAUGGAUGUUCACCAAACUUGACAAUAUGCCCAAGACACAGCCUUUGUAGACAGGGAUCAUUGAGGUAAGACACAUAAAACUGUUUAACUUUGGUUGAUUGAUAAACACAAACAAUUUAUGGAUGAUACUGAAGAGAUAUUGAAAAGAUUGGUUAUUAUCCUAUAUUCACAAGUGCCUGUUUUUCCAUUUUGCACUUAUCUUUUAACAUUCUUACUUUACAUACAAGUUCAACAAACACUGAAGCACAUUCAUGUUUGAAAUUUCACUCUUCCUUAAGUUAUAAAAAUAAACUAGAAUAUUACAACAACUAGACUUAUGAGGAUGACUAAUAAUAAAGAAAUAUGAUGCAUGAACUAUAUACCCGUUGCCCUCUGAAUGUUGAUGUCUCCACCAUGUUUGUUUACAUCUCAAAGCAGUGCUGUCGGGUCUAUAAGACAAACCAAUUCUGGAAGUUCCCAGCAAAUAUUCAGUGUUUUAAUUGUUUUUAUUUGAGUGGUCUGGCCACAGGGCACAACAUAUACCCAUAAAUUUUUUUAAAAAUGUGAGGAUUUUGGGGCCUGGAACAGAUUAAUUUUUACAUUAAUUUCAUGGGAUAAAUUGCUUCCUAAUUCAAACAUUCUCAAUUCGAACAGCCCAAAGGAACCAAUUAAGUUCGAAUCACGAGGUACCACUGUAUUAACUGGUUCAGCCCUUUGUAACACUGAGACCAAGUUACAUUAGUCAUUUGUUUUGUCACUUAUUCUGUCCAUCGAGAGAAGGUCAUGGAAGCUAGUCAUUUGUUACGUCUAUUUUUCUUUAGUUUGAGACAAGGUUAUGUUGACUAGCCUUUGUUACGUCACGUCUUUACAUUGGGACAAGGUUACGUUAGCGUCAUUUGUUUCGUUUUUCUUUACAUCGACCCAAGGUUACGUUUGCCAGUCAUUCAUUGCAUAUAUUUUUCUUUAGUUCAAGACGAGGUUACAUUAGCCAGUCAUUCAUUAUGUAAUUUUAUGAACAUGGUAUUAUUAUUUAUCAAGUUACGUGGGUAGUUUUAGUUUCUACUUUCUUUGCAUCGAGACAAAACAAGAUUACGUCAGCUACCCCUUCGUUACAUCACAUGUACAUUGGCAUCGUUACGGCAGUUUUGAUUUCCCUGGUCGUUUAGGCUUGUCAUGCGUGUCUGUCUA